rnacentral:rRNA from 1 species
AGUAUGUGUGGAGCCGUCCUUGAAAUACCACCCUUGUAGUGUUGAUGUUCUAACGUCGACCCCUUAUCGGGGUUGCGGACAGUGCCUGGUGGGUAGUUUGACUGGGGCGGUCUCCUCCCAAAGAGUAACGGAGGAGCACGAAGGUGGGCUAAUCACGGUUGGACAUCGUGAGGUUAGUGCAAUGGCAUAAGCCCGCUUGACUGCGAGAAUGACAAUUCGAGCAGGUGCGAAAGCAGGUCAUAGUGAUCCGGUGGUUCUGAAUGGAAGGGCCAUCGCUCAACGGAUAAAAGGUACUCCGGGGAUAACAGGCUGAUACCGCCCAAGAGUUCAUAUCGACGGCGGUGUUUGGCACCUCGAUGUCGGCUCAUCACAUCCUGGGGCUGAAGUCGGUCCCAAGGGUAUGGCUGUUCGCCAUUUAAAGUGGUACGCGAGCUGGGUUUAGAACGUCGUGAGACAGUUCGGUCCCUAUCUGCCGUGGGCGUUGGAAGAUUGAAGGGGGCUGCUCCUAGUACGAGAGGACCGGAGUGGACGAACCUCUGGUGUUCGGGUUGUGUCGCCAGACGCAUUGCCCGGUAGCUAAGUUCGGAAUCGAUAACCGCUGAAAGCAUCUAAGCGGGAAGCGAGCCCUGAGAUGAGUCUUCCCUGAUACUUUAAGUAUCCUAAAGGGUUGUCGGAGACUACGACGUUGAUAGGUCAGGUGUGUAAGUGCUGUGAGGCAUUGAGCUAACUGAUACUAAUUGCCCGUGAGGCUUAACCAUACAACACCCAAGGGGUUU